UUNGCCUCCGUUUCGGAGUCUGAUUUAGCCUGCUAGUCGCACGAGUUCAUACUCGUGGCAUAUAGCUCAGUAACACGUGGCCAAACUACCCUAUGGACGAGAAUACUCUCGGGAAACUGAGGCUAAUCCUCGAUACAGCUUCCAUGCUGGAAUGCAGGAAGCUGGAAAUGUUCUGGCGCCAUAGGAUGUGGCUGCGGCUGAUUAGGUAGACGGUGGGGUAACGGCCCACCGUGCCAGUAAUCGGUACGGGUGAUGAGAGUCAGAGCCCGGAGACGGUAUCUGAGACAAGAUGCCGGGCCCUACGGGGCGCAGCAGGCGCGAAACCUUUACACUGCACGACAGUGCGAUAAGGAGACUCCGAGUGCGAGGGCAUACAGUCCUCGCUUUUCUGUACCGUAGGGUGGUACAGGAACAAGUGCUGGGCAAGACCGGUGCCAGCCGCCGCGGUAAUACCGGCAGCACAAGUGAUGGCCGAUAUUAUUGGGCCUAAAGCGUUCGUAGCUGGCCAGACAAGUCUGUUGGGAAAUCCACGUGCCCAACACGUGGGCCGUNCAGCGGAAACUGUCUGGCUUGGGGCCGGAAGACUUGAGGGGUACGUCCGGGGUAGGAAUGAAAUCCCGUAA
rnacentral:rRNA from 1 species